rnacentral:rRNA from 1 species
CGGUGUUCAACUGGCGUGUCCGCGGGACGUCCUGCCGGUGGGCUUAGCCCGCAAGGGCGGCCCAACUUCAAAUCCCAUCGCGGUGCUCUUCACUGAGUGUCGAGGUGGGCCGGCACGUUUACUUUGAACAAAUUAGAGUGCUUAAAGCAGGCUAAAACUUCGCCUGAAUACUGUGUGCAUGGAAUAAUGGAAUAGGACCUCGGUUCUAUUUUGUUGGUUUUCGGAACCCCGAGGUAAUGAUUAAUAGGAACGGAUGGGGGCAUUCGUAUUGCGACGUUAGAGGUGAAAUUCUUGGAUCGUCGCAAGACGGACAGAAGCGAAAGCAUUUGCCAAAAACGCUUUCAUUGAUCAAGAACGAAAGUUAGAGGUUCGAAGGCGAUCAGAUACCGCCCUAGUUCUAACCAUAAACGAUGCCAGCUAGCGAUCCGUCGACGUUCCUCCGAUGACUCGACGGGCAGCUUCCGGGAAACCAAAGCUUUUGGGUUCCGGGGGAAGUAUGGUUGCAAAGCUGAAACUUAAAGGAAUUGACGGAAGGGCACCACCAGGAGUGGAGCCUGCGGCUUAAUUUGACUCAACACGGGAAACCUCGCCAGGCCCGGACACCGGAAGGAUUGACAGAUUGAGAGCUCUUUCUUGAUUCGGUGGGUGGUGGUGCAUGGGCCGUUCUUAGUUGGUGGAGCGAUUUGUCUGGUUAAUUCCGAUAACGAACGAGACUCUAGCCUGCUAACUAGGCGUAUUUUCGACAUCUCAAAGGUCCGUCGUCCCGGCCCUCGGGUCGUGGGCGUGCGCGAUUUUUACUGUCGGCGUACUAUCAAUUCUUCUUAGAGGGACAGGUGGCUUCUAGCCGCACGAGAUUGAGCAAUAACAGGUCUGUGAUG